GACGAACCGCCCGAACGUUGUUCGGAAUCACUGGGCUUAAAGGGAGCGUAGGCGGGCUACCAAGUCCGGGGUGAAAUCCUCCAGCUUAACUGGAGAACUGCCUCGGAUACUGGAAGUCUCGAGGAGGGUAGGGGCACGCGGAACUGUGGGUGGAGCGGUGAAAUGCGUUGAUAUCCAUAGGAACUCCGGUGGCGAAGGCGGCGUGCUGGACCCUUUCUGACGCUGAGGCUCGAAAGCCAGGGGAGCAAACGGG
rnacentral:rRNA from 1 species